GACGAACCGUACGAACGUUAUUCGGAAUUACUGGGCUUAAAGGGUGCGUAGGCUGUGCAGAAAGUUGGGUGUGAAAGCCCUCGGCUCAACCGAGGAAUUGCGCUCAAUACUGCCGAGCUUGAGAGAGACAGAGGUAAGCGGAACUAAUGGUGGAGCGGUGAAAUGCGUUGAUAUCAUUAGGAACACCGGUGGCGAAGGCGGCUUACUGGGUCUUUUCUGACGCUGAGGCACGAAAGCCAGGGGAGCGAACGGG
rnacentral:rRNA from 1 species